GACGAACGCUGGCGGCGUGCUUAACACAUGCAAGUCGAACGGAAAGGCCCUGCUUUUGUGGGGUGCUCGAGUGGCGAACGGGUGAGUAACACGUGAGUAACCUGCCCUUGACUUUGGGAUAACUUCAGGAAACUGGGGCUAAUACCGGAUAGGAGCUCCUGCUGCAUGGUGGGGGUUGGAAAGAUUCGGCGGUUGGGGAUGGACUCGCGGCUUAUCAGCUUGUUGGUGGGGUAGUGGCUUACCAAGGCUUUGACGGGUAGCCGGCCUGGGAGGGUGAACGGCCACAUUGGGACUGCGAUACGGCCCAGACUCCUACGGGAGGCAGCAGUGGGGAAUCUUGCACAAUGGGCGGAAGCCUGAUGCAGCAACGCCGCGUGCGGGAUGACGGCCUUCGGGUUGUAAACCGCUUUCGCCUGUGCCGAAGCGUGCGUGACGGUAAUGGGUAAAGAAGCACCGGCUAACUACGUG
rnacentral:rRNA from 1 species